rnacentral:rRNA from 1 species
UACGUAGGUGGCGAGCGUUGUCCGGAAUUACUGGGCGUAAAGGGCGCGUAGGCGGUUAAUUAAGUCAGGUGUGAAAACUGUGGGCUCAACCCAGAGACUGCAUCUGAUACUGGAUAACUUGAGUGCAGGAGAGGGCAGUGGAAUUCCUAGUGUAGCGGUGAAAUGCGUAGAUAUUAGGAGGAACACCAGUGGCGAAGGCGGCUGCCUGGACUGUAACUGACGCUGAGGCGCGAAAGCGUGGGGAGCGAACAGG